rnacentral:rRNA from 1 species
GCUAAAAAUCUAGCCACACCCAAUCAAAUGACACUUAAAAAUUACGUUUAUUUAAUUAAAACAUUUUAACAGUUUAGUAAAGGCGAUUGAAAAAUUCUUAUGAGCUAUAUAUAAAGUACCGCAAGGGAAUAAUGAAAUAAAAAUGAAAUAGCUAUUAAGCACAAUAAAGUAAAGACUAACUCUUGUACCUUUUGCAUCAUGGUUUAACAAGUCUAAUCAAGCAAAAAGAUCUUAAGUUUGACCCCCCGAAACUAAGUGAGCUACUUCAAGGCAGCCCAAAGAGCAAACCCGUCUCUGUCGCAAAAGAGUGGGAAGACCUUCAAGUAGAGGUGAUAGACCUAACGAACUUAGUGAUAGCUGGUUGCUCAGGAAAAGGAUUUUAGUCCCGCCUAAAAGUUUAUUGUUACCUAAAAACUCAAUAUUAACUUUAGAGUAAUUCAAAUAAGGUACAGCCUAUUUGAAACAGGAUACAACCUUCACUAAUGGGUAAUUAAAAUAAUUUAACAACCAAGUAGGCCUAAAAGCAGCCACCUUUUUAAUAGCGUCAAAGCUUAAUUGUUUUAUUAUUAAAUUUCUUCAUCAAAUAUUAACCCUUUAAUAGUACUGAGCACUUCUAUAUUUUUAUAGAAUUUUUUAUGUUAAAACUAGUAACAAGAACAAGACCUUCUCUAACAAUGCAUAUGUAAAUCAGAAAGGACACACCACUGCUAAUUAACAUGCCUGAGUAUAAAGUAGUAACCCAACAAGAAAAUUCAACUAAAUCUCAUGUUAACCUAACACAAGAGCAUUACAAGAAGAUUAAAAGAAAAAGAAGGAACUCGGCAAAUAUUAACCCCGCCUGUUUACCAAAAACAUCGCCUCUUGACUAACAUAAGAGGUCCAGCCUGCCCAGUGAUAUAAUUCAACGGCCGCGGUAUCCUAACCGUGCGAAGGUAGCGUAAUCACUUGCCCUUUAAAUAAGGGCUAGUAUGAAUGGCAUCACGAAGGUUAUACUGUCUCCUUUCUCUAAUCAGUGAAACUAAUCUCCCCGUGAAGAAGCGGGGAUGAACUUAUAAGACGAGAAGACCCUAUGGAGCUUUAAACAAAUAACAAUUGCUAUAAAUAUCCAAAUUUCAGAAUUAUAAAAUUUAUUUUUAGCAAUUUGAUUACUAGUUUUAGGUUGGGGUGACCGCGGAGUAAAAAUUAACCUCCACAUUGAAAGAAAUACUUUCUAAACAAAAAACUACAACUUUAUGUAUCAAUAAAUUGACAUCAAUUGACCCAAUAUUUUUGAUCAACGAACCAAGUUACCCUAGGGAUAACAGCGCAAUCUACUUCAAGAGCCCAUAUCGACAAGUAGGUUUACGACCUCGAUGUUGGAUCAGGGUACCCCAGUGGUGCAGCCGCUACUAACGGUUCGUUUGUUCAACGAUUAAAACCCUACGUGAUCUGAGUUCAGACCGGAGAAAUCCAGGUCAGUUUCUAUCUAUAAAGAGUUUAUUCUAGUACGAAAGGACCGAAAAAACAUGGCCUAUGUUUAAUACAAGCCAUAAUUUAAUUUAUGUUAAAAACUCAAUAAAUUAUUAAUCUAACAUUUAACUUAAGAUAAAAGUA